AGAGUUUGAUCAUGGCUCAGAACGAACGCUGGCGGCGUGGAUUAGGCAUGCAAGUCGAACGGACGCUUAGCUUUUUCGAGCGUUAGUGGCGAAAGGGUGAGUAACACGUGGGUAACCUGCCCUUGAGAUCGGGAUAACCAAUCGAAAGAUUGGCUAAUACCGGAUACGUUCCGGCAACGAAAGUUGUUGGAGGAAAGAUGGGGAUUCGCAAGAACCUAUCACUCAUGGAUGGGCCCGCGGCCUAUCAGCUAGUUGGUGAGGUAAUGGCUCACCAAGGCUAAGACGGGUAGCUGGUCUGAGAGGAUGGUCAGCCACACUGGGACUGAGACACUGCCCAGACACCUACGGGUGGCUGCAGUCGAGAAUCUUUCGCAAUGGGGGCAACCCUGACGAAGCGACGCCGCGUGCAGGAUGAAGGCCUUAGGGUUGUAAACUGCUGUCAGCUGGGAAGAAAAAGCAGAUGGUGAAUAAUCAUCAGCUCUGACGGUACCAGCAGAGAGCC
rnacentral:rRNA from 1 species